GUAUAUGUCUGUAAACCCAGCACUGGGUACACAACAGCAGGAAGAUCUAGGACUCACUGGCCAGCCAGAACUAGUGAGAGACCUUGUUUCAAAACAGGGUCAAGAGCAACUGAGGAAGACACCAUACUUAGCUUUUUGUUAUCUAGAGUGUGGUGAUAUAUUGUUUAUGAUCUAGUAAAGCCACUGAAUAUUAGAAAAGCAAAAGCAGCCAAGCUACCUGUCCCGCGCGCUCUGUAUUUCUCGCCAGCAAGAAAUCAUACACGGGACACUCGGAUCCUUCUGCAGACAAGCUUUAAUGCAUCUUGAGAGUGGAGAGCAUAAGCUUCCCAGAGCGGAGACCCUGAGCCAAGAAUCCCGUCCCCUAAUAAAGGCUGGCAGCCGCCGCCUGGGACGUGUCACCCUAUGAUUGGCUGCAGCUCAUCAGGCCAUAUGACGCCACGGAAUAGGCAGAGAUCAAGGAAUGGAAAAUUACCCAGCGCCUGCGCAAUAAUCUUGUUUACAUUCGGUGCCUGCCGGAUGCAGGCGCCAUCUUGUAAUGGAGAAUGCAGGGACGGCUCCCUACAUAUCCCCCUUUUUUUAUUAAUUAAUGAAAAGGCUUUAUAUUAUUACAAGCAAAUAGGUCACCCAUAUGUUGAGGGAUAGAGGUAGAGGUUGUACCUUCCCAAAAUCAAACAUUAAGACUGUGUACGGGAGUCGCGACUAGGCUGUUAGCUUGACCCGAAGCACUCUCGACCUGUCCUCUGCCGUUUUUCUGGGAAAGGGAGUCUCAGGGCAGGUAACCCUUAUGCAGGUCAACGUACCUCCCAGAGAAGCCUGUAUAAUAGGCAACUCUGUGCGAUGCCUUUGCUCAGCAUCCCUCAUUGGGCUGCCCAGACCAGACACUCUACCCUGUGCAAUGAGCCUAGGCUCCGGGUGUGCAAGAGCUGUCUGGCCAGCGGCCUAUUGCUUAAGCAUAGUUAGCCAAAUAUCAGUGGAAGCCCCUUGUUCCAAAGCUACAAGCGCUUGGGCGAUAACCACCUUGUCUCUCUUAGUUUGAGCCCUGAGCCUACAGACCAGCCAGAGAAGCAACAUCAAUCCGCAGCAAACGGCUGCACCAAACAAUCCCACCUCCACCCAUUCCUUAAAAUAGGAGACAGCUGAAGCAAUCCAUGAUGACAGUCCCUCCGUCAAGGACAGGAGUUAAUCUGGAUAAUAGCGGCUCUCAACUCCCGGGGAGAGGGUGGAGUUCCGACUUUUGAGGGUCCAAAGGGGCUCUUCGGGUGAGUCUUUCCGGGAUCCACAGGGGAUUCUCUUCAUCCUGUGGAAAAACACAUAUCGCUCCCCUGGAUCUUAUGAGAAUAGGAUCCGGGCCUCUCCAAAGACCAGUUAAGACAUCUUUCCAUUUUACCAUCUCCUCUGAGGUAUGACGCUUGGCCGCUGUAUGGCCCUGAGCGUCGGUGUUUAGAAAAUUAAGGGUAAAGAGUGCCAUGGAUAUUGCAACUCUUGGCACCGAGGGUAGGGAUGCUCCCAUUCCCUCCUUUUAAGGUAGGCCAGUUAGAUGGGUAAUUUCCAUCUGUCUGUAGAAGUGCUGGAACUUUUGAGAGGUAUAAGCCGGCCCAUUAUCUGUUUUUAAGAAGCACACAGGUGGCUAGGUAAAGUCUUAUUUCUGUAAUACAGCUGAACUUCCUUAAACAGUAGCUUAACUUCUUUCUGAGGCAGGGUUUUUUUUUUUUUUGUGACUUUGGAGCCUGUCCUGGAAUUCGAUCUGUCGGACCAGGCAGGCCUUGAACUCAUAAAGAUCUAUCUGCCUCUUACUCCCGAGUGUUGGGAUUAAAGGCGUAUGCCGCCAACGCCCUCAACUUAAAGGCGUGUGUCACCAACACCCUGAGCUUAAAGGUGUGUGCUACCAACAUAAUAGAUUAGCAUCUUUUACAAAAACAAGAACUUUACAUUGUCAAGCUUUGCUUAAAAAUUCUAAAUUGAAGCUCUUUAAGUAUAAACAUUAAUAAAAUCAAACAUUUGAAAACUGGUUUUAAAAAGAAAUUUAAAUUUCCUUAAGGUCUUUCUGUAAUAUAUAGAAGCAUUAACAUUUUAAAUCUUAACUGAAAAACUUGUUUCUAAGAUGGUACUUCUAAUUUCCAUGCGGUCACCUUUAGUUAAGAUGGCGGUCUAAGUAUCCUUUUUUUAACUUUAGCAAAAUGGCUACCGUCAGUCAUGUGACCAGCUACAAAAUGGCCGUACCAGGAAAUAGAACAUUUUAAAACAAGCAUACAUAAAUUACUUGAGCAACUUUAGGAUAUGAGGCUUUCCCCAGGCAUCCCAGGCCUCUAAGAAGUUUUGAAUAACAUGUGUGGCCUUUUCCCCUGUCAAAGACUGGGAAAGCCAUCUGCAAUUUUCUCCGCUCCUCUGAUGGUAAAAAGGAGUCGGUACCAAAUAGUGGGGGUGCUGAUGGAAGCACACCCGCUGGCAUUUUUGGCAGCCGAUAUCUAUCGGAGUGGUAUCGUGCUGCUUCUUUCUCUAGCUCUGCUUCCUUGCUAGAGUCUAAAAUCUCAGAGUCUGAGCUGUUCAGCUCCAAGGCCUCCAGUUUCGUUGCAGGGCAGAGGCUAGGUUUUGAGUCCUCAUCUCUCCUAAAUUUACCGGGGUGUGACCGGUUAUUCCCUAUUUUCUCUCCCUCCUUCUCUGUCUCUCCCUCAUCCAGCUGAGCUGUUCCUUCCAAAACCCCAUCUCUUGAGCUUUUAGAGUCAUUAGAGCUAUCAAGAUUUAAAGCUUUAAACUUAUUUACAGAAUCAUCUAACAAAUUAUUCACUCCCUUGUCAGUAGACAUUCCAGGAGGUCCUUUUUUCUUAUUUAUUGCUGUUUCUCUUAACAAAUUAUUCACUCCCUUGUCACUAGACAUUCCGGGAGGUCCUUUUUUCUUAUAUUUUAUUGUUAGGCGCGCCCCAUCUCUCACCACAUUCGGUUUCUGAUAUAUAAUUCUGGACUUCUUUAAGAUUGCUACAACAGUGAGAAAAGUAUUAACCUCCCACAAUAGCAACAUUCCCAAGCCAAAGUCCAGAAAAAUCAUACCUCUCCGAAUUUACCACCCUGCAGUUCUGAAUCCGCCUCGUUAGAGGGGUCUCCACGGUGCUGGAGAUGUUCACAUGUUCCCGGGUUUCGGCACCAUAUGUCCCGCGCGCUCUGUAUUUCUCGCCAGCAAGAAAUCAUACACGGGACACUCGGAUCCUUCUGCAGACAAGCUUUAAUGCAUCUUGAGAGUGGAGAGCAUAAGCUUCCCAGAGCGGAGACCCUGAGCCAAGAAUCCCGUCCCCUAAUAAAGGCUGGCAGCCGCCGCCUGGGACGUGUCACCCUAUGAUUGGCUGCAGCUCAUCAGGCCAUAUGACGCCACGGAAUAGGCAGAGAUCAAGGAAUGGAAAAUUACCCAGCGCCUGCGCAAUAAUCUUGUUUACAUUCGGUGCCUGCCGGAUGCAGGCGCCAUCUUGUAAUGGAGAAUGCAGGGACGGCUCCCUACAGCUACCAGAGAGCCCUUAUCUCACAGUGCUGGGGCAAUCCUGACCUCAACAUAGAGACCUUUGGUCUCUAUGUGCAAGUGCACACACCCAAACUCAUACAUAGACCACACACACAAACAACUAUAUACACAAACAAAACAAGUUCUCUGAAAGCAUGAGGUCUCUCCACAUUAGCAUUAACAUCUGAGCCAAUGGCAGGAUUAGAAGUUACUUCAGUUAGGAGGGCUUUUCUGUUUCCUUUGACUCUGUUGUUUUUCCAUUUCCUAGUGGUUUCCAUAUCAAGUAUGAGUCGCAGCUAAAUGAUCUUUCUUAUCUAUGUAAUCUAAUUGGAAACUCAGAUAUGCACCUAUUCUAGCUUAGUGUCCUUCUCAACACACAGCAUAUGCCAGGGACCAUGUGUGCAGGUGAAACCCAAUCAAGGUCCAUACUGCUGCCCCUGCCAGAGCCUGUUGCUGGCAACCAGCACAGAACUUGCUGUUGGUAAGACUUGGGUUUUUUUUUUUUUUCUAUCCACCCAUGUCCACAAAAGGAGUAUCUCCACACAGUACCAGGCAGGACUUAGGCUGAAGCUAGAUAGACAGUGGCAUCCUUGUCUCCCCCUCCGUGGUCAACAGUAACUUUGGCUUUGGUGGAAGUAAUUAACUUUUCUUGUUCCUAUGACAAAAUACCUGAAAAGGAAAGAUUUGUUCUGAUUUACAGACCCAGAUAUAUGCACAAUGCAUCUGCAGUCAAGAAGCAGCUUGAACAGAAUGCAGUGUUAAACCACAAAACCUCAAGAUCUACCCCCGUUGACCCUCUUCCUCCAGCAAGGUUCCACUUCCUGAAGUUAUACAACCUUGCCAAAUAGUGCUGCCAGCUGGGGACCAAGUAUUCAAACACAGGAAUCCGUUUCACAUCCAGUCUCCAAUAGGAAGGCAGUGGGGAAGAACAGGUUUGUUUCAGAUCAUACCCUGCCAUAGGCAGCACAGGACCACGGCACCAUUGCAAUGAAGAAGGGAAUGAGUAUCCUUGGCAGUCUAUGCAGGACCACUUAGGCUAGGGUGGCUGGCCAGAGAGCUCUAGGGAUCUGCCUGUCACCGUUUUCCCAGCACCGUGAUUACAAGUGCACACUACUGUGUCUGGCUUUUAAAAUGUAGCUUUCUGGGGAAGGCAAACAAUAGCUGUGCUAUCUGUCCAGCCUCAUCCCUCUUAAAAUAUAAAAAGUAUUGAAACUAAUGUCCAUGCUUGUAUAAAUUUGCUGUUUUAAAGGCCAUUUCAAAGUUUGUUAGCAAGAAUAUCUGUGUCCUACAACACUCAAAAGAUUUUUCUAACAGUCUUGGAAAUGGGCCAGAGUAAAUAUUGUUUUGCUAAGUAGGGUAGAGGGAAUAGCUACAGAGGCGUUAUUAGCUGUAAACACAAGAUACUCAAUGCUAAACAAUACUACUCUGCAGAAGCAAUAUGUCACUUCAUGUCAAUUUGGCUUUCUCUUUAGGUAAACACAGGUGUGGACUUAAGAGAUAAGUUGGAUAUGGGUAGAAAAAAAGCUGAGAUGAGGUUAUUUUACUCUUACAAAGUUUAAUGUGUAUAGGAAGAAAGAUGGAAGAUGGCUCAGUGGUAGAGUAUGGCCUAGCGUCACAAUUCCUGGGCCAGAUCCUCCGUGCAAAACAAAAUAAAACAAAACAAAAAAAGACAAACAAAAACCAUCCAAACUGACAACAAAAGUCAGAUGCAAUGGCAGCUAGCUGAAGCUUGGCAAGUUUGGGUGUAUGGAUUCCCAGGUCAAUGUAUGGAAUGCUGGGCACUUUAGGUUAGGAAAUGGGGUAACCCAUGCUUUAUGAGGUAUUUAUGCUUUCUGUAAUUUAGAGGGAAGGUAAUGGUAAUGAUGUACCAAAGUGUGUGUGUGUGUGUGUGUGUGUGUGUGUGUGUGUGUGUGUCCUUUGGUGCAGUGGCUUCUGGUUUUGUGAUUCUUUAUCUGGCUGUCAACUUGACUACAUCUGGAACCAGUUAAAACUCAAGCAGCAGCCACGCAUUGGUGGUGCAUGCCUUUAAUCCCAGCACUCCAGAGGCAGAGGCAGGUGGAUCUCUGUGAGUUCGAGGCCAGCCUGGUCUACAAGAGCUAGUUCCAAAACCACAGAGAAACCUUGUCUCCAAAAACCAAAAUACAAAAACAAAACUGAAGCAGCUGGGUUCACCUGUGAGGAAUUUUUCUUGAUUGGAUCAUUUAUUGAAGAAGACCCACCCUAUGUCUGGGCCACACUUUCCUGUAACAGCCCACAUAAAAGGACAUGGAAGAAGAAAGGUUUGCUUUUUGCCUGCUUGCCCUCGGUAAGUUCAUCCAUCCUGCUGCCAAGGCAAUCCCUUGCAGGUGUUAGAACCUAUUUCUUCGGGAUUUCAAUAUAGCCUGAAGAUCAGCAGGUCUCUAGGCAUCAGGUUGGGAUGGCUGCAACAGCCAGUCUUAUGGAUAGACCAUAUUCUCAGGCUUUCUGUUAGGAGACGCUAUUGAACUAUCCAGACCACAGCUUGCAAGCCAUUCUAUUCCUUUAGAGAAACCAGACUCACACACCAUAUAUUACAUUUAAAUUUAGUUUUAAUAGCUAGUUUAUAAACAAGCAGUCAUAGUGAUCUACUUUAAAACAUUCAUUGGUAGUGUGUUUGAGUUAUAAAAGGUAUUUCAAGUGUUGAAGGGAAAUAGAAAUUCUGUACUGUCUGGGGUAUUCAGUAAAUGAGACCAUUUCCUUGUGAGGUAAGCUUGCACCAGACUUCUCAUUGAAAAUUCUUUUUUCUUUUUGGGACAGGAUCACAGUUGCUAGCCCUGGCUGGCCUGGAGCUCAUAUGUAGACAAGACUGGCCUGGAACUCACAGAGAUCCUCCUGCAUCUGCCUCGAGUGCUGGGGUUAAAGGUGUGCAGUACAACACCCAUCCAGACUGACAAUUCAUAUUUGAAAAUUACUUCAUAUAAGACCUAGAGCAUGCCCCUCCACACCCAGCAGCACAAAGCCUAAAUUUUGACCCCCAGAACUGUUUAAUUAAAAGUUUGUUUUAUGUUGUAAGACAGCAGAUUUCCUGAGGCUACAGGUAUGGCUGCAUGAGAAUGCUCUGCUCAGCAGGGUGUGCUUAGAGAGCAAUAGGAUGCAACACUAGAUGGAGUUUGUCCCAGCAGGAUUCUGCCACCCUUGAGAGCCCCAAAUAAACACAGGACAUACUAAUUAUAAAGCUGUUGGCCAAUGACUAGGGCUUCUUAUUAGCUAGCUCUGUCUUAAUUAUUAACCCAUCUCUAUUAAUCUAAGUAUUUCCACGUGGUCUUUUCUUACAGUAGAAGGGUCCAGAACUGUUAUUCCUUCACUACAUGGUGACUGCUCUCCCAGAAUUCCCAGAAUUCUCCUCAUCUCCUAGUCCCACCUAUCUCCCUGCCUCUAUUGGCCACAGUUUUAUUCAUCAACCAAUAAGAAAAACAUAUACACAGAUGGACUUCGCCCAUCAGGAGUUCGCUAAAACUAGUACAAAAUGGAAGGUAUUCGGGCAGCUUAACUUAGUUUCCCAUUAGAACAGUUUUCAUAACAAACUAAAGUUAGCAUAAGAAUGUAUGCAAGUUCACAAAAGUAAUUAAAGCAUUUAAACUGUCAGUGUCUUGAUAGCACUAAUAAACACCACUGAAGGAUGUGCAUGACUUUAAUCCCAGCACUUGGGAGGCAGAGACAGGUAGAUCUCUGUGAGUGAGUUCUAGGCCCAUCUGGUCUACACAGUGAGUUUGAAGAAGCUAGGGCUACACAGGGAAACCGUGUGUCAAAAAACCAAAUAAAUAAAUUCCACUGGGUAAUUAAUUUAGAGCAUUUGGUCUUUUUUUUUUUUUUUUUUUUUUUGGUUUUUCGAGACAGGGUUUCUCUGUGGCUUUUGGAGGCUGUCCUGGAACUAGCUCUUGUAGACCAGGCUGGUCUCGAACUCACAGAGAUCCACCUGCCUCUGCCUCCCAAGUGCUGGGAUUAAAGGCAUGUGCCACCAAUGCCCAGCUAGCAUUUGGUCUUUUAUUAGUAUAUAUUAGUUAUACAUAAUUGGUUUCAGUAUGACAUUUCAUAUAUAUUCAUAUAUGUAUAUAAUGCGUUUGAGCAUAUUCACCUCCUUUUAUCCUUUUUACUCCCAUACCCUUCUAGUUUCAUUCUAUUAUGAUUAAAACCAUGCCCAAAGCAUUUGGAGGGAAGAAAGGGUUCUGAGUUGCAGUCCAUCCCUGAAAAAUCAGGAUAGGAACAGAAGCAGAAACCAUGAAGGGAUCUGCUUAGUACUUGACUCACUGCCUAGGUGCACCUGAUAAGUAUUUUGAAAAUCCCCAAUUGUGGGUUUCUCUGCUGAUGCGAUUAAUCAAAUCCAGCUGAAUUAAUAAGACCAAGUUUAAUAAACAGAACAAAGCAAAGCAUUCUCAGGCAGCUCUCAGAAAUGGGAAGAGGAGAAAUCUUCUAGGAUCCAGGUCUUAAAUACCCUGGAGGGCUUUCUGAGAGGCAGGGAGCAGGAGGAGGUUUGGAGUGGGGGGCUGAGGCAGAGCUUCCACCUAAAUAUCCCAGACUCCUUGUGUAUGUGGGCUCCAGUUCAAGUUUGGCUACUACUUUCGGGCAAGUGAUGACAUGGGGAGGGGAAAUUGGUGGGUUCAUGUUCAACAGGAAGUAUGAGUGAAGAAGCAUUCAGUUAGCUACCAUCCUGGAGACCUCAGGCAUCUAUUCCUUGAGGAGAUGGAGAAGGCAGGUUACUAGGAAAAAAAUAGAUUAUUAUUACCAGCACUAUGAAUGGGGCUAGCGAUGGGAAGAGGGAAGGUUACCAGAAAGAAUGAAAUGGAUAUAUGGUUGUACAAAAGAGACAAGGGUGAAUGAGUGAGACAUGAGAGCAGAUAUGCCCUUUACUGAAACAUCUUGGAAAACCAGAUUCCAGUUGCUGGAUAGGUACCCACUUGAACCUAGAAAAAUGCUAUCAGCACUAAUGUCCCCGGAGCUUGGGAUGGCACAACAGAUCUAAGGAUGAUGUGUUCCAGAAGUACCUGAGCCAUCACAUCUGCUGUUUCACUGGAGUUAGGAGACAUUGGAGCUUUAUGAGUGGGUAUAUGGGUGAAGCCAACUUGCCAGUCCUCACCAGGUUGGUGUCCUUGAAGCUGGUGUCUUUGGAGCUGGUGUAGGGGCUGGUGUCUUUGGAGGGCCCCCUGUGGGUUGGACUUGGCACAUGUCUGGCAGGAGGACCUAUCUAGACACUGAUUUCUUGAUACAGUAGCAGAACUUUUUUUUUUCCAGAAACAUGCAGGUACCUGUAAGACAGCUGGAGUAGAUUUAUACCUUGGUAUCAUAGCAAAACCAUCACUGCCUGGCCUUAGACAUAUAUUUUUAAAUUUGUCUUUGUGAGCCUGAAUAGUAAGGAGAGCUCUUUGUCAGACUGUUUUAAGCCAUCUUGUUGCAUCAUAAAAUAGGAAUAUCUCAGCCUCUGGUGUUGAGCAGUGCUCCUAAGAUAAAGCAUAAUCAUAAUCUGUAGAAGACAAACUACAUUUUCACAUUGUAAACAACUUAGUGUUUUUAAAAUCAAUAAUACAUUACAAAAUCUGGCUAUCAGCAAGAUACAUCCCUAUACAUGAAUGCCAACGUUGUUUUAAAUCCUAUCUUCUAUAAACCUUGUUUUUAAGGCAGGACAGGAAUUAUCACAUAGAAGUCUAUCCUAAUCUAAAAUAACUUGGAGACCCACUCCAUUUGGUCACCUUUAUUCAUGAUGGUGGUGAAGUCACAUGACCUCCCUAUUUUUAUUUAUGUAUUUGGUUUUUUGAGACAGGGUUUCUCUGUGUAGCCUUGGAUGGCUAGAAACUCACUGUGUAGACCAGAUGGGCCUAGAACUCACUCACAGAGAUCUACCUGCCUCUGCCUCCCAAGUGCGGGGAUUAAAGUCAUGCACAUCCUUCAGUGGUAUUGUUAGACCCCAGGAAAACUCAGGCCUCCGGGGUCUCAGCCCAGGACCUCGGUCACCCCAAUCACCAGGAAGAUUCAAAAGCUUGCUGCAAACUGCACGAGGCUUUAUUGUCAUUUAACGAGCUAAUCCCAUGUUAGCUAGGGUCUUCACCCACCCGCCAUGGUGGAUGGCUAGCAAAGACAGCUCGAAGGGGCUGCAUAGAGAUCUUGUAGGGCAGCGUAAGGGGAGUGUCUAGGGGUACGCACAGGCUCAGGAUUGGUGUGCCUCCAGGAUUGGAGGGCUUGCCCUGUGUUGAUUGGCCAACUGGUUGUUAUGGCCCAUAGGCCCUCCCAGUGUGGUUGCUAUGCUCUGUGAGUCAUUGCUGUGCACUUGUCUGUAAAGCACACCCAGAGCCGUAAAGCAUAGCGACAUCAGCUAACUUCUGAUUGGUUCCUUGCCAUGAGGCAGGCACCUAACCUCUAGUGACCAAGGCAAGGUCAGAAAAGCACGUGUUACUAUUAUGGCUGCCGAAAGGGGUGGGCAUCUGACCUUAGUGACUAAGACAAGGUCAUGGCAAGCACGUGUCACUGUCAUGGCUGCUGAAAUGGGGAGCUGGUCCCUUCAGUAUUUGUUAGUGCUAUCAAGACACUAACAGUUUAAGUGCUUUAAUUACUUGUGUAACUUUGGAGCUUGUCCUGGAAUAGACAGGCUAGCCUCAACUAAAGAGACCUGCCUGCCUCUGCUGGGACUAAAGGCAUGAGCCACCACUGCCCUCCGACCUCCCUCUUUUUAACUGUAGUCAAAAUGGUGUCUGGCCAUGUGUUUGUACUUAAUUAAAAUGGUGCAGGCCAUAUAUUUCCCAGAACAAUUUCAAUUAUAAGUUUUAAGUUAAGUUUUUGUUAAUAGCAACGGCGGACACAAGGAACAUGUACAUUCAGGCACUCAAAACUAACUGAGCCUGAAGUAAACAUAGGCACAGAUCCAUUCAGACACACAGGAUAGAUGGGGG
ensembl:lncRNA